CGGAAAUCGUACGUAGAGUGUAAAGGCAAAAGAGAGCUUGAUUGCAAGACAUACAGGUCGAGCAAGGAUGAAAAUCGGACUUAGUGAUCCGGUGGUUCUGCGUGGAAGGGCCAUCGCUCAACGGAUAAAAGCUACCCUGGGGAUAACAGGCUUAUCUCCCCCAAGAGUCCACAUCGACGGGGAGGUUUGGCACCUCGAUGUCGGCUCAUCACAUCCUGGGGCUGUAGUAGGUCCCAAGGGUUGGGCUGUUCGCCCAUUAAAGUGGUACGCGAGCUGGGUUCAGAACGUCGUGAGACAGUUCGGUCCCUAUCCGUCGCAGGCGUAGGAAAUUUGAGAAGACCUGUCCUUAGUACGAGAGGACCGGGAUGGACGUACCUCUGGUGUACCAGUUGUCCUGCCAAGGGCAUGGCUGGGUAGCUAUGUACGGAAUGGAUAAGCGCUGAAAGCAUCUAAGCGCGAAGCCAACUUCAAGAUAAGAUUUCCCACCGCAAGGGUAAGACCCCAGAAAGACUAUCUGGUUGAUAGGUCGAAGGUGUAAGUGCAGCAAUGUAUUUAGCUUAUCGAUACUAAUAGGUCGAGGACUUGACCAA
rnacentral:rRNA from 1 species